AUUUCUUUUUUUUUAAAAUUAAAUUGGACCGAUUUUAUUAAACUCUUUGGCUACAGCCCAAUUCAAAUAAAGGUCCAGCCAGUGGCCCUAAAAAUUAAAAUUAAAAUUAGAAAUGAACUCCUAAAAUCUAUUUGUAUCUUCUGACCAUUCAUCUUCCUUCAACUCUGUUGGAAAGUGUUGCAACUAUGUUGGAGGAUGUUGGAAACUCCAGAUCCAGCGUAUGUUGCCGAGUUCCAGCUUAGAUUAGCUCAAUGUUCCAAAAUCAAGGCUCCGUCGGUGUUACAUUUCAGAUUUCCUUCUUCAGGUGGACUUCAUUUUACACUGUGAUAAUGCACCUGAGGUCUGUAAUCUUUCAAUUUGCUUAUAAUGGCAAUCCACUCACUUAUUUUUUAUUUCUGGUCCAUGGGUAUUUAAUCUUCACGAACUUUCUCACCAAGUCCUGAACUUGCUCCACCAUUGUGUUUUAUGUAGUAUUUCCUCCAUACUUUUUGUUGUUCCUUCUCUUCCAAAGUAUCCACAUUAUGAUUGUUGGCAUAGCUUGAUAUAUCACUUUUAGCUUUGGUGAAUCAUCUUGUUUCCACCAAGUGAUAAUAAGUUGUUGAAGGUGCAUUCCAAUAAUGUUUAUACCUGCAAAACUAGCAAACUGCCUCGAUAGCCUAGUGGCUAUAGGGGUUGUUUAAAAAAGAUGCGACAUAGUUUCCUCCUUCUUUGUUUCACAACACCAACAUCCCGAAACAAUUGGAAUGUGCAUUCUUUUGAGGUUGUCAUCUGAAGCUAUUUUCCUAUUCCAUACCAGAAGAAAUUCACCUUAAAAGAAAGUCCUUUACACCAUAUAAACUCAUAG